rnacentral:misc_RNA from 1 species
GAAAUGCGAUAAGUAGUGUGAAUUGCAGAAUUCAGUGAAUCAUCGAAUCUUUGAACGCACAUUGCGCCCCUUGGUAUUCCAUGGGGCAUGCCUGUUCGAGCGUCAUUUGUACCCUCAAGCUCUGCUUGGUGUUGGGUGUUUGUUCCGUCUCCGCGCGUGGACUCGCCCCAAAGUGAUUGGCAGCCGGCGUACUGGUCCCGGAGCGCAGCACAUGUCGCGCAAACGAGUGCCUUGGUACGGCGGCGUCCAUAAGCCCCUCUCUCACGCUCUUGACCUCGGAUCAGGUAGGGAUACCCGCUGAACUUAAGC